ensembl:lncRNA
GGGGCCACAGCGACUAAGUGGGAGGAUUUGGUGCCUGCCUCCCACAGGGUACAGUGCUGCCUGCCACCCCCAGUACCCAGCCCUAGGCUUGUUGUACUUGGUGAGGGGCAGCUCUGUGGGGUUAGCACAGACAAAGUGCUUGUGUGUUCCCUCUAGGCCUUGGGGGUCCCCCAUGUGGGAGAGCAUGCGGGGGGUGGAGGUGGGCAUAGCCAGCAGCAGGGGGCCUUAGUCCAAGGGCUGUCCCUGGCAGGGGGAACCAUGUCCAUUCCUCCCCAAGCACCAUCAGGGUGGGCUCCCAACCAGAAGCCUGAUGCCACAGUCACCCUCAGCCCUGUGUGAGGAGUUACAGUUCAGCCCAACCAGGAGACAGGCAGGGCAGGCGGGAAAGGAAUUUAGAGAUGUCCGGGGGGAUACUGAGGCCCAGAGUAGGGAAAUCAUGUGCUGAGCCAGGAGGUAAGGUCUGGGGGCAGUGGGCCCCUGCUAGAGGAGGAGAAACUCAGCAGCAGAGGGAGGCUCCAAGGCUAAGGAGGAGGCAGGGGUCCUACACACCCCAACCCACCAGCUCUGACUUUUCCUCACAGCCACGGCCCACAGAGGACUGCUGGCGUGAUCCAUCCGCCGUGGUGCACAGAUUCCAGCACAUUCCCAGGCUGGCUGGAUGCAUAACAGCCUCUCAGGGCAGAAGGAGAUGGUCAAGGAGGGUGAGGGCAGGACGGUGUUGGGUCCCAGGACUGGGAUGGAGGCAGUGAGGAAAAAGAUCUUCCUUAGGCCCCACUGAUCUCACUGCUUUAGGUGGACUUUUCACCCAAAGGCUUUGGAGAGACUGGAGAUGUCACGCUUCAGCCCUGCUCUGCUCCUGACUUGCGUGGGACCUGGCCAGGCCUUUCCCUUUUCGGGGUUUCUGCUCCCUCCCCAUUGUUAAAUAGGACUUUCAGCUCUCAGCACUCCAUCGGGGUCCAGCCCCCUCCCAGCUCUCCUUGUUUUAGGGACUGGCCCUGCCCAGCAGCUCAGAAGCCAUAGAGGCAUUUCCCUAUGCCCCUACUCUGGAACAGGGGGUUCAGGCUCCCCAGAGUGAGGCAAAAUGGGGUAGAUGGUGGGAGGGGCCAGCAGAGAGGAUUAUGAGAAAAUGAAAGCUCAAACCAACAUGCACUUAUUCUGUGAGCAAGCUAUUAUUUAAAUCAAAACUAUGAGAGCCGGCCCUGGGCCAGGCAGGCUGAUAAACCUGUCACAUAAGCAGACAUCUGAGCUCUCCCUGAAACUCCUGCUGGAGAAAUGCCAAGCUCUCCGGUCCCUUGUGCCCUGCUGACUUUCUGCCCACCCCUGGCCCUAAGCCAGCCCACAAACUCUCCACUGUCACUGAGAGAUUCCUACCAGGAUGGUGCACAAGGACCUGAGCUGGUGUCCUAGGCAAGCUCUGCGGGAAUCCAGGUGGCGGCAGAUGGUUUCAGUCUCUGCCUCUUGGACAGAAGCACAUGAUGUAGUAGCGAAGUCAGAGCCUGAAACGGAUCAAGUGGGGAAGGCUGGCCUCACUGCCAUGCAGGUGUUCACAGCUUUCACGGAGCCUUCAUGACCACCAGCAAGGCCGUCCAGGGCAGGGCCACCAAGUUCCAGGAAGUGGCAGCUUGUGGCUCAUGCAGCCUGGUGAGGCAGAGAGCUCUGGCCAGGACAGCUCCAGCCCAAGCUCUAAACAGAGGAGGAAGCAGGUGGGCCAUACUCAGGCUGGUCCUCACACAGGCCUAGUCUAGGAGGCAGAUAGGCCUGGCCUUGGUCCCAGCCUGUCACUUGCUGGUGAUGUGGUCCUCUCACAGCCUGUUCCCUCAUCUUGGGAACGAGGUACACCAAGCAUCCCAUUAUCCCACUGGAGUGAAGAUGACGUAAGUUUUGGAAAGUGUCUACUGCAUUGAGGAGAGGAGGGCAGGCAGGCACUGUUCGAUGUCAGCAGGGCCUCCACCCAGGGCUCUCUGGGUGGCAAUGGCAGGAAUCCACACCUUUGGGACUAGGCCAGAGAUGAAGCCAUUUUUUAAUUCAACAAGCACUUCCAUAGCCUCCCUUGGGCUAGGUCCUGUUCUGAUGGCCUUAUACUCCUUUAAUUCUCUUCUCAUUUGAAGAAGGUAGGUGCUCUGUUUUCCAGGUGAGUCGACUGAGGCAGAAAGAGGUUAAGAAAGGGGACUUGUCGGUCGGGCGCUGUGGCUCACUACUAUAAUCCCAGCACUUUGGGAGGCUAAGGCAGGUGGAUUACCUGAGGUCAGGAGUUCGAGACCAGGUUGGCCAACAUGGCAAAACCCUGUCUCUACUAAAAAUACAAAAAAAAAAAAAAAA